rnacentral:rRNA from 1 species
AUUGAACGCUGGCGGCAGGCCUAACACAUGCAAGUCGAACGGUAGCACAGAGGAGCUUGCUCCUUGGGUGACGAGUGGCGGACGGGUGAGUAAUGUCUGGGAAACUGCCCGAUGGAGGGGGAUAACUACUGGAAACGGUAGCUAAUACCGCAUAACGUCUUCGGACCAAAGUGGGGGACCUUCGGGCCUCACACCAUCGGAUGUGCCCAGAUGGGAUUAGCUAGUAGGUGGGGUAAUGGCUCACCUAGGCGACGAUCCCUAGCUGGUCUGAGAGGAUGACCAGCCACACUGGAACUGAGACACGGUCCAGACUCCUACGGGAGGCAGCAGUGGGGAAUAUUGCACAAUGGGCGCAAGCCUGAUGCAGCCAUGCCGCGUGUAUGAAGAAGGCCUUCGGGUUGUAAAGUACUUUCAGCGGGGAGGAAGGCGAUGCGGUUAAUAACCGCAUCGAUUGACGUUACCCGCAGAAGAAGCACCGGCUAACUCCGUGCCAGCCGCCGCCGUAA